CCUACGGGUGGCAGCAGUGAGGAAUAUUGGUCAAUGGCCGGAAGUCUGAACCAGCCAUGCCGCGUGAAGGUCAGUGCCCUAUGGGCGUUAAACUUCUUUUGUGCGGGAGCAAUAAUGGUCACGUGUGGCCAGACGAGAGUACCGUACGAAUACGCAUCGGCUAACUCCGGGCCAGCAGCCGCGGUAAUACGGGGGAUGCAAGCGUUAUCCGGAGUUAUUGGGUUUAAAGGGUGCGUAGGCUGGGAGGUAAGUCAGCGGUGAAAUGCCCCCGCGCAACGGGGUGAAGUGCCAUUGAUACUGGCUGGCUGGAAUGCGGAUGACGUGGGAGGAAUGUGUGGUGUAGCGGUGAAAUGCAUAGAUAUCACAAAGAACACCGAUUGCGAAGGCAUCUCACGAAUCCGCGAUUGACGCUGAUGCACGAAAGCGUGGGUAUCAAACAGUAUUAGAUACCCCAGUAGUC
rnacentral:rRNA from 1 species